rnacentral:rRNA from 1 species
GACGAACGCUGGCGGCGUGCUUAACACAUGCAAGUCGAACGGAAAGGCCCUGCUUUUGUGGGGUGCUCGAGUGGCGAACGGGUGAGUAACACGUGAGUAACCUGCCCUUGACUUUCGGAUAACUUCAGGAAACUGGGGCUAAUAUCGGAUAGGAGCUCCUGCUGCAUGGUGGGGGUUGGAAAGUUUCGGCGGUUGGGGAUGGACUCGCGGCUUAUCAGCUUGUUGGUGGGGUAGUGGCUUACCAAGGCUUUGACGGGUAGCCGGCCUGAGAGGGGGACCGGCGACAUUGGGACUGAGAGAGGGCCCAGAAUCCUACGGGAGGCAGCGGGGGGGAGUAUUGCAGAGUGGGGGGGAGCCUGAUGCAGCAACGCCGCGUGCGGAAUGCCGGCCUUCGGGUGAAAAACAAAUUUGGCCUGUAACAAACCGUGAGUGACGGUAAUGGAUAAAGAAGCACCGGCUAACUACGUG